rnacentral:rRNA from 1 species
GUAAUGUGAAUUGCAGAAUUCAGUGAAUCAUCGAAUCUUUGAACGCACCUUGCGCUCCUUGGUAUUCCGAGGAGCAUGCCUGUUUGAGUGUCAUUAAAUUCUCAAUCCUUUCUGGGUUUAUAUAAUCUCAGCUGGGCUUGGAUAUGGGGGUUUUGCCGGCUUUGUAAAGAGUCAGCUCUCCUGAAAAACAUUAGCAAGACUGUUAUUGCAACCUUGUAUUUGGUGUGAUAAUUAUCUACAUCAUAGAUUGUGUGCAUGUGCAUGUCUGGCUUCUAACAGUCCAUUGAAUUGGACAAAACUCUGACAAUUUGACCUCAAAUCAGGUAGGACUACCCGC